rnacentral:RNase_P_RNA from 1 species
GAAGUUCGCCAGGCAACCGCUGAUCACGAAAGUGGUUGGAGGAAAGUCCGGGCUCCACAGGGCAGGAUGCCGGCUAACGGCCGGGCGCUAUAAGUCGGAAGACGCAAGUCGGACGACGAAGGCGACGGAAAGUGCAACAGAAAGAUACCGCCGAUGGCUCGACCUGACUUCGCCGCCGCAAGGCGGCAAAGUCUCCCUUGAAUGGGGAGGGGCGGGAUCAGGUAAGGGUGAAAUGGUGGCACGGCGUCAGCCGUGUCGGUGCGGCGCAAGCCGUGCCGAGGUAAGAGCUCACCGCGGACGUGGUAACACGGACGGCACGGCAAACCCCAUCCGGAGCAAGGCCAAAUAGGGGAGCAUAGGCGCGGCCCGCGUCGCUCCCGGGUAGGCUGCUAGAGGCCGUCGGUAACGGCGGUCCCAGAGGAAUGGUUGCCCACGACAGAACCCGGCUUAUCGGCGGACUUCCCAC